rnacentral:misc_RNA from 1 species
AAAGUCGUAACAAGGUCUCCGUAGGUGAACCUGCGGAGGGAUCAUUACUGAAUGGCCCUAUGGGUCUUCAACCACUCAAACCUGUGGAAGCAAGAUGUGCUUCGGCGCUUCGGCGUCGCUUUUAUGCAGAAGUCGGUUUUGUGUCUCAUUUAUAACAGAAUUUAAAAACUUUCAACAACGGAUCUCUUGGCUCUC